CGGACAGAGACGGCGCAUUUUCCA
rnacentral:rasiRNA from 1 species